UACGGAGGAUGCGAGCGUUAUCCGGAUUUAUUGGGUGUAAAGGGUGCGUAGACGGGAAGGCAAGUUAGUUGUGAAAUCCCUCGGCUUAACUGAGGAACUGCAACUAAAACUAUCUUUCUUGAGUGCUGGAGAGGAAAGUGGAAUGCCUAGUGUAGCGGUGAAAUGCGUAGAUAUUAGGAGGAACACCAGUGGCGAAGGCGGCUUACUGGACUGUAACUGACGUUGAGGCUCGAAAGCGUGGGGAGCAAACAGG
rnacentral:rRNA from 1 species